rnacentral:rRNA from 1 species
CCUACGGGGAGGCAGCAGUGAGGAAUAUUGGUCAAUGGACGAGAGUCUGAACCAGCCAAGUAGCGUGAAGGAUGACUGCCCUAUGGGUUGUAAACUUCUUUUAUAUGGGAAUAAAACAGGGUAUGCAUACCCUCUUGUAUGUACCAUAUGAAUAAGGAUCGGCUAACUCCGUGCCAGCAGCCGCGGUAAUACGGAGGAUCCGAGCGUUAUCCGGAUUUAUUGGGUUUAAAGGGAGCGUAGGUGGAUUGUUAAGUCAGUUGUGAAAGUUUGCGGCUCAACCGUAAAAUUGCAGUUGAAACUGGCGGCCUCGAGUGGGCGAGAAGUAUGCGGAAUGCGUGGUGUAGCGGUGAAAUGCAUAGAUAUCACGCAGAACUCCGAUUGCGAAGGCAGCAUACCGGCGCCCGACUGACGCUGAGGCACGAAAGCGUGGGUAUCGAACAGGAUUAGAUACCCGUGUAGUC